GUGAAGCUUGUGAAAGUCAGACUUCAGUUCCCCAAGGUAUUUCAUCGUGUGUCUUCCCACCCUGAACCUACGAAAAGUUGGAUUGCUAUUCCAUCCCGAAAGAGCUACCUUCUACGAUUUCGCCGUUUCUUUUUACCGACUCAAUCGCCGCCUCACGACGUUCCUUCACUUGAAUCCAGACGCCACGGUACCAGGCACAAAAUUUCCGAAUGGUACGUAGUCGAAGCAUUCCACGUGUGUGGGUUGACAUUGAGCAUCGGCAUACCCAGACGUAUAUAAUGAAAAGCGCAUGCUUUUUGAAGGUGACUGGAUUUGGCCCAGCGCAGUACAAGGAAAGCCACUAGGAUAUCACGGAUAGAAGAACAUAUACGCGCCAAUGUAAGCCUGUACUCCAUUACUUUUGUCGCAUACCCUUGGCCCCGAGAGGACUUUCUUUGUACCCAAAUCGGUCAAUAUCCAAGUGAUGGAAGCUCUCGUUCAUACUCUCCUCCAAUGUACCCUAUGAGCCGAAGAAGUGCGUUCUGCCUUCCCUUCCAAGUCAUAACCAGAGCAACCAUAGACUACUCCUCCAGUAUGUUUUCCAG
rnacentral:sRNA from 1 species